UUUGAACGCUGGCGGCAUGCCUUACACAAGCAAGUCGAACGGUAACAGGUCUUCGGAUGCUGACGAGUGGCGAACGGGUGAGUAAUACAUCGGAACGUGCCUAGUAGUGGGGGAUAACUACUCGAAAGAGUGGCUAAUACCGCAUGAGAUCUACGGAUGAAAGCAGGGGAUCGCAAGACCUUGUGCUACUAGAGCGGCCGAUGGCAGAUUAGGUAGUUGGUGGGAUAAAAGCUUACCAAGCCGACGAUCUGUAGCUGGUCUGAGAGGACGAUCAGCCAAACUGGGACUGAGACACGGCCCAGACUCCUACGGGAGGCAGCGGUGGGGAAUUUUGGACAAUGGGCGAAAGCCUGAUCCAGCAAUGCCGCGUGCAGGAUGAAGGCCUUCGGGCUGUAAACUGCUUUUGUACGGAACGAAAAGCCCCGGGUUAAUACCCUGGGGUCAUGACGGUACCGUAAGAAUAAGCACCGGCUAACUACGUGCCAGCAGCCGCCGUAA
rnacentral:rRNA from 1 species